rnacentral:rRNA from 1 species
CGUGGUACGUCGCCUCGUACAGGGGAUAACACUUAGAAAUAGGUGCUAAAACCGCAUAAGCGCACAGUACCGCAUGGUACAGUGUGAAAAACUCCGGUGGUACAGGAUGGACCCGCGUCUGAUUAGCUGGUUGGAGGGGUAACGGCCCACCAAGGCGACGAUCAGUAGCCGGCCUGAGAGGGUGAACGGCCACAUUGGGACUGAGACACGGCCCAAACUCCUACGGAAGGCAGCAG